CUCAAAUAUUUUGCUUCUUUGAUAUGGUAUCAGAGCGCCUAUCCUGUUGGUGUCUCUCUUCUCGCAAGGGGGCUUAAGUACGGUUCUCUCUUCACGUGGGGGAUCAGAGGGUGUCAUCUCUAAGAAAGCUUCCCUUCCCCUUUCCAGCCAUCAUCUUCUCCCAUCGCUCCUGUUGCCCUUCUUCAUCGUGUUUGGAGGUUCUAGCAUGGAAGGAAGAGGAAAGCAUCCCAAAUGCUCGACUGCCGCCAUGCGUGAGAUUGAGAAAGGACUUCCUUGAGUUCCUGUGUCCCUGUCCCUAGACACGAGCAAGAGAGAAGAUCUGCCGCUAGAUUCGGUAGAGAGAAGCGCCUGCAACCCUGUCUCCGGAUGCGAGCAAGAGAGAAGAUCCGCCGCUAGAUCCAGCAGAGAGAAGAGGAGACGAGUGCUCCACCGCUGCGUGUCGUUGCCAUCACCGCAUGCCGUUGCUGUGUCCGCUACUGUCGCUCCCGUCGCCAUCUACGGCCAGCCGCGGAGAAGAGAAGAUGAGCGCUCCGAUCCGAGCGCCCUCUUGUUGCCAAGGUGAUCUCUGUUCUAUGAAGGACCUUCAAACAUGGAAGAUGAUUGGGAUAGCUAAGGAAUUGCAAGGCUUGUUUUAUUUCACCCCCGAUAAUUCCACUCCAUUAGUAAGCAAAAUCACCCUCAAAUUCAUUCAGCUUUCAAUAAAAAUUCUGCAUUAUGGCACAUUAGAUUAGGUCAUCUUUCAGCUAUUAGACAAAAUUUGCUACAUACAUUGAAUGAUGAUAUUUCAGUUUAUAAUGAAGGUACAGUUUGUGAAA